UACAGAGGUCUCAAGCGUUGUUCGGAUUCAUUGGGCGUAAAGGGCGCGUAGGCGGCGGGGUAAGUCGGGUGUGAAAUCUCGGGGCUUAACUCCGAAACUGCAUUCGAUACUGCCGUGCUUGAGGACUGGAGAGGAGACUGGAAUUUACGGUGUAGCGGUGAAAUGCGUAGAUAUCGUAAGGAAGACCAGUGGCGAAGGCGGGUCUCUGGACAGUUCCUGACGCUGAGGCACGAAGGUCAGGGGAGCAAACGGG
rnacentral:rRNA from 1 species